rnacentral:rRNA from 1 species
GACGAACGCUGGCGGCGUGCUUAACACAUGCAAGUCGAACGGAAAGGCCCUGCUUUUGUGGGGUGCUCGAGUGGCGAACGGGUGAGUAACACGUGAGUAACCUGCCCUUACUUUGGGAUAACUUCAGGAAACUGGGGCUAAUACCGGAUAGGAGCUCCUGAUGCAUGGUGGGGGUUGGAAAGUUUCGGCGGUUGGGGAUGGACUCGCGGCUUAUCAGCUUGUUGGUGGGGUAGUGGCUUACCAAGGCUUUGACGGGUAGCCGGCCUGAGAGGGUGACCGGCCACAUUGGGACUGAGAUACGGCCCAGACUCCUACGGGAGGCAGCAGUGGGGAAUAUUGCACAAUGGGCGGAAGCCUGAUGCAGCAACGCCGCGUGCGGGAUGACGGCCUUCGGGUUGUAAACCGCUUUCGCCUGUGACGAAGCGUGAGUGACGGUAAUGGGUAAAGAAGCACCGGCUAACUACGUG